UACGUAGGUGACAAGCGUUGUCCGGAUUUACUGGGCGUAAAGAGCGCGCAGGCGGUCGUUCAAGUCGAGUGUGAAAGCCCCUGGCUCAACUGGGGAGGGUCAUUCGAUACUGAUCGACUCGAAGGCAGGAGAGGGUAGUGGAAUUCCCGGUGUAGUGGUGAAAUGCGUAGAUAUCGGGAGGAACACCUGUGGCGAAAGCGGCUCACUGGACCACAACUGACGCUGAGGCGCGAAAGCUAGGGGAGCAAACAGG
rnacentral:rRNA from 1 species